AAGGAUUCUACUGUCUAAACUUGAGAUGGCUCCAAACCUAAAGACUUGAUCCAAACAGUCACAAACUUUGGGCUCAAGUUUGUUUGUGCCCAGGAACAAAAUAUUUGGACAACUUUAUUAUUUUUUUAAAAGGAAGGUUGAAUGUGGCUCCAACUCAGGAACAUGCAGAUGGCAUGUAAUUGCAUUUCCUGCAUUACUACUAUACGGGUUUCAUUACAUGUUCACAGCAAUGCACUCAGAGGUAAUCGCCCAAGGCUAGCAUUUGCUGAGUCUGGUAAACUAGAGGCUUAACUGCUCUGAUGUCACCAACAUAUUCUAAACAAUACGGCUGGAUGAGCUCUGAUCCAAAUUCCAUGUUACUCAUUUUAAUUUAAUUUUGCUCAACUCUGAGGACAUCUC